CGAGUGGCGGACGGGUGAGUAAUGUCUGGGAAACUGCCUGAUGGAGGGGGAUAACUACUGGAAACGGUAGCUAAUACCGCAUAACGUCGCAAGACCAAAGAGGGGGACCUUCGGGCCUCUUGCCAUCAGAUGUGCCCAGAUGGGAUUAGCUAGUAGGUGGGGUAACGGCUCACCUAGGCGACGAUCCCUAGCUGGUCUGAGAGGAUGACCAGCCACACUGGAACUGAGACACGGUCCAGACUCCUACGGGAGGCA
rnacentral:rRNA from 1 species